CGUAGGUGGCAAGCGUUGUCCGGAUUUAUUGGGUUUAAAGGGUGCGUAGGCGGCCCUGUAAGUCAGUGCUGAAAUACCCCGGCUUAACCGGGGGGGUGGCAUUGAUACUGCAGGGCUUGAGUACAGAUGAGGUAGGCGGAAUUGACGGUGUAGCGGUGAAAUGCAUAGAUAUCGUCAAGAACACCGAUAGCGAAGGCAGCUUACUGGGCUGUAACUGACGCUGAUGCACGAAAGUGUGGGGAUCAAACAGGAUUAGAUACCCUGGUAGUCCACACUGUAAACGUUGAUUACUCGCUGUUUGCGAUACACAGCAAGCGGCUUAGCGAAAGCGAUAAGUAAUCCACCUGGGGAGUACGCCGGCAACGGUG
rnacentral:rRNA from 1 species